GACUGCAGCUAUAUCACUCUGCAACUUACAACUGGCAACCCAUUGAAACCAAGCAGGUGUGAGCCUGGUCAGUACCUGGAUGGGAGACCUCCUGGGAAAUAUUAAGGUUUCUGCUGGAA
rnacentral:rRNA from 1 species